AUACGUAGGUGGCGAGCGUUGUCCGGAAUUACUGGGUGUAAAGGGCGUGUAGGCGGGAAUGUAAGUCAGAUGUGAAAUACCGUGGCUUAACCACGGGGCUGCAUCUGAAACUAUGUUUCUUGAGUGUCGGAGAGGCAGGCGGAAUUCCGUGUGUAGCGGUGAAAUGCGUAGAUAUACGGAGGAACACCAGUGGCGAAGGCGGCCUGCUGGACAUUAACUGACGCUGAGGCGCGAAAGCGUGGGGAGC
rnacentral:rRNA from 1 species